rnacentral:rRNA from 1 species
GACGAACGCUGGCGGCGUGCUUAACACAUGCAAGUCGAGCGGUAAGGCCCUUUCGGGGGUACACGAGCGGCGAACGGGUGAGUAACGCGUGGGUGACCUGCCCUUAGCUCUGGGAUAAGCCUGGGAAACUGGGUCUAAUACCGGAUAUGACUCCAUAACGCAUGUUGUGGGGUGGAAAGCCUUGUGCGGCUAGGGAUGGGCCCGCGGCCUAUCAGCUUGUUGGUGGGGUGAUGGCCCACCAAGGCGACGACGGGUAGCCGGCCUGAGAGGGCGACCGGCCACACUGGGACUGAGACACGGCCCAGACUCCUACGGGAGGCAGCAGUGGGGAAUCUUGCGCAAUGGGCGAAAGCCUGACGCAGCGACGCCGCGUGGGGA